AUUGAACGCUGGCGGCAGGCCUAACACAUGCAAGUCGAAAGCGUGGCGGCCGGGUGAGUAAUGUCUGGGAAACUGCCUGAUGGAGGGGGAUAACUACUGGAAACGGUAGCUAAUACCGCAUACCAUCAGAUGUUCCCAGAUGGGAUUAGCUUGUUGGUGGGGUAACGGCUCACCUAGGCGACGAUCCCUAGCUGGUCUGAGAGGAGUAACAGCCACACUGGAACUGAGACACGGUCCAGACUCCUACGGGAGGCAGCAGUGGGGAAUAUUGCACAAGGGGCGCAAGCCUGAUGAAGCCAUGCCGCGUGUAUGAAGAAGGCCGUCGGGUUGGAAAGUACUUUCAGCGGGGAGGCGUGACCCGCAGAAGAAGCACCGGCUAACUCCGUGCCAGCAGCCGCGGUAAUAC
rnacentral:rRNA from 1 species